rnacentral:rRNA from 1 species
CCUGGUUGAUCCUGCCAGUAACAUAUGCUUGUCUCAAAGAUUAAGCCAUGCAGGUCUAAGUGCGCACGGAAGGUACAGUGAAACUGCGAAGGCUUAUUAAAUCAGUUAUGGUUCCUUUGAACGCUCCACACGUUAAUCGGAUAACUGUGGUAAUUUCAGGGCAAAUCCAUGCAAACGAGCGCUGACCGGUCCUCUCUCGGGGGGGCCGGAAUGCGUGCAUUUAUCAGACCCAAAACCCACCCGGGGGGACCCGCGAGGGUUUCCCCCGGCCCUUUGGUGACUCUGGAUAACCUCGGGUUCGAUCGCGCGCCCACCGCGGCGGCGACGUCUCUAGAUAACCUCGGGUCGAUCGCGCGCCCACCGCGGCGGCGACGUCGAUUGAAUGUCUGCCCUAUCAGCUGUACCUCGGGUCGAUCGCGCGCCCACCGCGGCGGCGACGUCUCAUUCGAAGGUCUGCCCUAUCAGCUGUCGAUGGUAGCAUAGGGGGCUACCAUGGUGAGCGAUGGUAGCAUAGGGGGCUACCAUGGUGACCACGGGUAACGGGGAAUCAGGGUUCGAUCCCGAAGAGGGAGCCUGAGAAACGGCUACCACAUCCAAGGAAGGCAGCAGGCGCGCAAAUUACCCAAUCCCGACACGGGGAGGUAGUGACAAUAAAUACUGAUACAGGGCUCUUUUGAGGUCUUGUAAUUGGAAUGAGUACAAUUUAAAUCCCUUAACGAGGAACCAUUGGAGGGCAAGUCUGGUGCCAAGCGCCGCGCGGUAAUUCCCAGCUCCAAUAGGCGUUAUUAAUUUGCCUGAGUUAAAAGCCGUAGUUGGACUUUCGGGAGGUGGCUGCGGUCCGCCCCGAGGGCGAGCUACCGCCUGUCCCAGAACCUGCCUCCCGGGCGCCCCCCGGAAUGCCCUUUGGUUGGGUGUGUCCGGGUCCUCAGGGGUCGGAGCGUUUACUUUGAAAAAAUCAGAGUGUUCAAAGCGGGCACCAAACUCGCGUGAAAUGCCUAAGCUAGGAAUAAAUGGAAUGACUCCGGUUCUAUUUUGUGGGUUUCCUGAACCAGGGCCAUGAUUAAGAGGGACGGCCCCGUUUGUGGGUUUCCUGAACCAGGGCCAUGAUUAAGAGGGACGGCCGUGGGCAUUUAAUUGCGCCGCUAGAGGUGAAAUUCUUGGACCGGCGCAAGACGGACGAAAGCGAAAGCAUUUUCCAAGAAUGUUUUAAUUAAUCAAGAACGAAAGGCGGAGGUUCGAAGACGUCCAGAUACCGUCGUAGUUUCGACCGUAAACUAUGCCACCCCGAGAUCCGGCGGCGUCAUGGGAAUAACCCGCCGGGCAGCGUGCGGGGAAACCAGAGUCUUUGGGUUCCCCGGGGCCGUUAUUCCCAUGACCCGCCGGGCAGCGUGCGGGGGAACCCGAGUUUUUGGUUUCCGGGGGGAGUAUGGUUGCAAAACUGAAACUUAAAGGAAUUGACGGAAGGGCACCACCAGGAGUGGAGCCUGCGGGCUUAAUUUGACUCAACACGGGGAACCUCACCCGGGCCGGACACGGAAAGGAUUGACAGACUGAUGGCUUCGGGGAACCUCACCCGGCCCGGACACGGAAAGGAUUGACAGACUGAUGCCUCUUUCUCGAUUCUGUGGGUGGUGGUGCAUGGCCGUUCUUAGUUGGUAUUUUCGAUUCUGUGGGUGGUGGUGCAUGGCCGUUCUUAGUUGGUGGAGUGCUUUUGGUCUGGUUAAUUCCGAUAACGAACGAGAUUCCUUCGUGCUAAAUAGUUACGCGGCCCCCCCGCGGGGCGCGGUUAACUUCCUUAGAGGGGACAGUGGCGUAUAGCCACGCGAGAUGGAGCAAUAACAGGUCUGAGAUGCCCUUAGAUGUCCGGGGCUGCACGCGCGCCACAAUGGCCGGGCCAGCGUGUGCCUACCCUACGCGAAGGGCGCCGGGUAAUUCCGCUUUAAAGAGGCGCGGGUAAUCCGCUUAAACCUUUUGUGACAGGGAUUGGGGGACUGCAAUUAUUCCCCAUUGAACGGAGGAUUCCCAGUAUGCGGGUCAUCAGCUCGCGCUGAUUAAGUUCCCUGCCCUUUGUACACACCGCCCGUCGCUACUACCGAUUGGAUAUUGUUUAUGUGAGGUCCUCGGAUCGGCCACGCCGGGGCUCCUUCGCGGGGCCUUGGUGCUGUGCUGAAAAGUCGAUCGAACUUGAUCAUCUAGAGGAAGUAAAAGUCGUAACAAGGUUUCCGUAGGUGAACCUGCGGAAG